rnacentral:rRNA from 1 species
CCUACGGGGGGCUGCAGUGGGGAAUAUUGGGCAAUGGGCGCAAGCCUGACCCAGCAACGCCGCGUGAAGGAAGAAGGCUUUCGGGUUGUAAACUUCUUUUCUGAGGGACGAAGAAAGUGACGGUCCCUCAGGAAUAAGCCACGGCUAACUACGUGCCAGCAGCACCGGUAAUACGUAGGUGGCAAGCGUUAUCCGGAUUUAUUGGGGGUAAAGGGCGUGUAGGCGGGAAAGCAAGUCAGAUGUGAAAACUCAGGGCUCAACCCUGAGCCUGCACUUGAAACUGUUGUUCUUGAGUGCGGGAGAGGCAAGCGGAAUUCCGUGUGUAGCGGUGAAAUGCGUAGAUAUACGGAGGAACACCAGUGGCGAAGGCGGAUUGCUGGACAGUAACUGACGCUGAGGCGCGAAAGCGUGGGGAGCAAACAGGAUUAGAUACCCGGGUAGUC